rnacentral:miRNA from 1 species
AGUGGGGCUUCGACCCUAAC